rnacentral:rRNA from 1 species
CCUACGGGAGGCAGCAGUGAGGAAUAUUGGUCAAUGGACGAGAGUCUGAACCAGCCAAGUAGCGUGAAGGAUGACUGCCCUAUGGGUUGUAAACUUCUUUUAUAUGGGAAUAAAAUGUUCCACGUGUGGGAUUUUGUAUGUACCAUAUGAAUAAGGAUCGGCUAACUCCGUGCCAGCAGCCGCGGUAAUACGGAGGAUCCGAGCGUUAUCCGGAUUUAUUGGGUUUAAAGGGAACGUAGGUGGAUUGUUAAGUCAGUUGUGAAAGUUUGCGGCUCAACCGUAAAAUUGCAGUUGAAACUGGCAGUCUUGAGUACAGUAGAGGUGGGCGGAAUUCGUGGUGUAGCGGUGAAAUGCUUAGAUAUCACGAAGAACUCCGAUUGCGAAGGCAGUUCACUGGACUGCAACUGACACUGAGGCUCGAAAGUGUGGGUAUCAAACAGGAUUAGAUACCCCAGUAGUC